GAUGAACGCUAGCUACAGGCUUAACACAUGCAAGUCGAGGGGUAGCAGGGUAGCAAUACCGCUGACGACCGGCGCACGGGUGAGUAACACGUAUCCAACCUUCCCAUAACUCUGGGAUAGCCUUUCGAAAGAAAGAUUAAUACCGGAUGGUACUUUUUCAAGGCAUCUUGAGAAAGUUAAAGAUUUAUUGGUUAUGGAUGGGGAUGCGUUCCAUUAGAUAGUUGGUGAGGUAACGGCUCACCAAGUCUUCGAUGGAUAGGGGUUCUGAGAGGAAGGUCCCCCACAAUGGUACUGAGACACGGACCAAACUCCUACGGGAGGCAGCAGUGAGGAAUAUUGGUCAAUGGGCGAUAGCCUGAACCAGCCAAGUAGCGUGAAGGAUGAAGGUCCUAUGGAUUGUAAACUUCUUUUAUAGUAGAAGAAAGUGACCCACGUGUGGGUUUUUGUAUGUAUACUAUGAAUAAGGAUCGGCUAACUCCGUGCCAGCCGCCGCCGUAACAC
rnacentral:rRNA from 1 species